rnacentral:rRNA from 1 species
UCUGCCUGAUGGCGGGGGAUAACUACUGGAAACGGUAGCUAAUACCGCAUAACAGUUUAUGCCGCAUGGCAUAAGAGUGAAAGGCGCUUUCGGGUGUCGCUGAUGGAUGGACCCGCGGUGCAUUAGCUAGUAGGUGGGGUAAUGGCUCACCUAGGCGACGAUCCCUAGCUGGUCUGAGAGGAUGACCAGCCACACUGGAACUGAGACACGGUCCAG